rnacentral:tRNA from 1 species
CUCGCUGUAGCUCAGCGGAUAGAGCACCUCUAUGACUAAGAGGAUGGCCGCGGGUUCAAAUCCCGCCAGCGAGA